UAAGUUGUAUUGGGCUGUGCAAUAUGUUACUUCCGUGUUCGUCAGAUUAAAUAGCUUUAUGUCCUUCUCACGAUUAUAAAGAUAAACCAGAAUACUUCAUGCUACGGUCAUCAUCCUGUGACCUAUACAUGUUAUUUCAAAAACGACUCAAACAGAAAAGACGAAAACAUUUAUUAUCUUAAUCUCAACGAUCUUUGGUUAAAUUGAAUAAUUUUUCUAAGCUACACGUUGUUAAUUUGUUCAACGCAAAUCCUUUAUAACCUUAUUCACUAUGCUAGGGCGCCCUAUUUCUAAAGAUGUUUCCUUGAACUCUUCGGCGAUUCUCUUUCAAGAAUGACCGGGUUCAAUUUUCGAAACAUUAUCAAUUCAAUGUGUCCUCUCUCUAGCGUAUUUAUUUAAAUAGCGUAGAAAGGACCCUUUGAAACGUACUUCUAGAUGUAUUUAAUACUACUUUAAUUUACCACUUGGGCAGUUGACCUAUCCAUUUCAGUCGCUGUACUGAAUGUCGACUGUCGAAGUGCGAGAGAUGUCAUUACUGUUUACUCUUAGUGUGAGGACGACGCGCGCGGAAUAAAGAUCAACCUCUAAAAUUACUGGAAUUUCCGAGGUCAGGAAUGACUCAUUCCAUCAAGGUCAAGGGCGACAAGCAUUCAUCUAACGAACUGUGGAAAACUCUAGCUAGUCAACCUAAGGGUUUGCUGUGCUUUAUUCGGUUCAUUCUGCUGAGAAGAUGAUACGACGGGUGUUGUUCAUGCGAAUAUCGAGUUGUGGGGUGUUAUUUUUACGAAGAACGAUAAUUGUGUACAUACUGAAGAGAAUAAAGUAUCUCUGUGAUAGUGAUUUUGUUA